UACGGGGGGGGUAAGCGUUGUUCGGAAUUACUGGGCGUAAAGGGCUCGUAGGCGGCCAACUAAGUCAUACGUGAAAUCCCUCAGCUUAACUGGGGAACUGCGUGUGAUACUGGAUGGCUUGGAUUUGGGAGAGGGAUGCGGAAUUCCAGGUGUAGCGGUGAAAUGCGCAGAUAUCAGGAGGAACACCGGUGGCGAAGGCGGAUCUCUGGGCCUUACCUGACGCUCAGGCGCGAAAGCUAGGGGAGCGAACAGG
rnacentral:rRNA from 1 species